GUGAGUUACAAACCACAGCUAGCAGCUCACAGACGAGGUGAGUUACAAACCACAGCUAGCAGCUCACAGACGAGGUAAAUUCUAAACCACAGCUAACAGAGAAGGUACGUCCUGGCUGGGGGCACUUUCAGCAGACGUUCUGUAAUGAUCUGGAAGGUUGCAGACAGAAAUGUCUUGAGACGUGUGUAUUUUCUAGGUAAUGUAUUUCUGAACAAUCCAGGAUAAUGUGCCCUCAUUAACAUAAUCCCUGUGUAUGAGGGAGAGGGCCUCGGACUAAAGAGCAGAUCGUCUGACGUACUGCUACUUAUUUUGUGUAGAGAAAUGAAUGUUUUCUCUUCAGGUUCCCUUCCGAAAUCCAACCUGUCUUUUCACACAUCUUAAAACAACAUGCCAUCAACAAGGAAUCUUUCAAAAUAAAAGUUGUUGAUGAGAGUCUGGGAUGCUACUGUAGGCUAGGUGGAAGAAAGAGGGAUGCUACUGGAGGCUAGGUGGAAGAAAGAGGGAUGCUACUGGAGGCUAGGUGGAAGAAAGAGGGAUGCUACUGGAGGCUAGGUGGAAGAAAGAGGGAUGCUACUGGAGGCUAGGUGGAAGAAAGAGGGAUGCUACUGGAGGCUAGGUGGAAGAAAGAGGGAUGCUACUGUAGGCUAGGUGGAAGAAAGAGGGAUUCUACUGGAGGCUAGGUGGAAGAAAGAGGGAUUCUACUGUAGGCUAGGUGGAAGAAAGAGGGAUUCUACUGGAGGCUAGGUGGAAGAAAGAGGGAUUCUACUGUAGGCUAGGUGGAAGAAAGAGGGAUUCUACUGGAGGCUAGGUGGAAGAAAGAGGGAUUCUACUGUAGGCUAGGUGGAAGAAAGAGGGAUUCUACUGGAGGCUAGGUGGAAGAAAGAGGGAUGCUACUGUAGGCUAGGUGGAAGAAAGAGGGAUGCUACUGGAGGCUAGGUGGAAGAAAGAGGGAUUCUACUGGAGGCUAGGUGGAAGAAAGAGGGAUUCUACUGUAGGCUAGGUGGAAGAAAGAGGGAUGCUACUGGAGGCUAGGUGGAAGAAAGAGGGAUUCUACUGUAGGCUAGAUGGAAGAAAGAGGGAUUCUACUGGAGGCUAGGUGGAGAAAGACAGCUGAGCUAUUAUCAUAGCACUACAAUGGUAGAGGAUAUAUUAGGAUAUUAAAGCGAUCUCUCUUUCCUGUUCUGAUGUUUUUCAUCCCUGAAGAGAUGUAGUCUGUUGCUAUUCUCUCUGUGGAACGGGGGACCAAACAAGAGGUGUAAAUUAGAAUGAAAUGUAAAGAGCAAAUAUAUUUAUUCUAGUGAAUAUCCCAGACUAAUCCUGUUUCGUAGAUGAGAGAGAAAAAGGGAGAGAUGUAUUUAUUCAAAGACACCGAGCAUCUGUAUUCGUCAGAGGUUCUUACUACGAAAUCACUUUUAUUCAAAUGGGAAACUCUCAUGAGACUCUCUCUCUCUCCCUCUCCCUCUCUCUCUCUCUCUCUCUCUCUCCCUCUCUCUCUCUCUCUCUCUCUCU